AUGUGGGUCAUCUGGCUCCGGAGCUCAUGUUGUAAACUGCAGUGCUUGCCUGCCUCUCUCAGGACACCAGAAGUCCCACUCUUGAUGAGCCUGGCUGAUGGGUCCCGGAUCUUCACUGGAACUUCCCAGGCACCACCACAACCGUCUCGGGCUAGAAGGGGAACGUCCCAUCACUUAGCCGUACUUCAUACAACUGUCCCCACUGUUGUCACUGGCAACUGGAUCAGCCUCUUCCUGCUGAUGGAGCGUCAUUAUCUGGCCCUGCUGCCAUGGAGACCCAAAGGAAUCAGGUGUGUUUUUCGCCUGCAUCACUCCCGCCUGGGGUGCGACAAGGACUCUUCUGCACGUCAUGCGUGGUGGACCUGUGGCGGGCUGCGGCCAGGCUCUUCCUGCGGGUGAAACCUAAUCAACUCAUCAGCAGCAGAUAAUAUCAAGACCUCUGUUUGAUACAUUACUAGUGACAGGCAUGCUUCCACCAUUAAUAACACGAUGCCCUUUGACAAUUAGGUUGUUUGGGGGGAAGAAAACCUUCCAGUCACCAGACUCAGCAUGAGAGGGCUCUUGUUCACACAAACACGACCUCACGUCACUGCCUAGCACCACGGACUGUUUUGUUCUCCAAGGCCAUCUGCGUGCCCAUUCUCUGAUCUAGAUUUCCUUCAUAACAACUUUCUCGUUUGUAUGCCCUCGCAGCAAGCACUGUUUCCUGUUUCUAAACUUGUAGACAAGCAUCCAUACAGCUCACAGUUGUCAACGUUAACUAGAUAACAGUGGCACCUUCUUGCUGCUUUUUUAUAACGGUGGCACCUUCUUGCUGCUUUUAUAUCUUUAACUUAGGUGAAGAGGACCCCGGAAGUCAAGUUUUUGAUUUGGAAGGAUGGGGUAUUCUUAAUUAAUGGCCCUACAUUUUCACGGGACUCAUCAUCUGAAAAAGAAAGUAAGUGGAAAAUCAUGGCCCCAUUUCUCAGGCCUGAAAAAUGUGUAGUGACAAGAGGACAAGAGAUGAAGGUUUUUAAAGCAAUAAAUGUCAUUUUGUUUCUCUUCUGAAUUUGUUG
rnacentral:lncRNA from 1 species